rnacentral:rRNA from 1 species
UAGGGAAUCCUCCACAAUGGGCGAAAGCCUGAUGGAGCAACGCCGCGUGUGUGAUGAAGGGUUUCGGCUCGUAAAACACUGUUGUAAGAGAAGAAUGACAUUGAGAGUAACUGUUCAAUGUGUGACGGUAUCUUACCAGAAAGGAACGGCUAAAUACGUGCAAG